AUUGAACGCUGGCGGCAGGCCUAACACAUGCAAGUCGAGCGGAUGAAGGGAGCUUGCUCCUGGAUUCAGCGGCGGACGGGUGAGUAAUGCCUAGGAAUCUGCCUGGUAGUGGGGGAUAACGUCCGGAAACGGGCGCUAAUACCGCAUACGUCCUGAGGGAGAAAGUGGGGGAUCUUCGGACCUCACGCUAUCAGAUGAGCCUAGGUCGGAUUAGCUAGUUGGUGGGGUAAAGGCCUACCAAGGCGACGAUCCGUAACUGGUCUGAGAGGAUGAUCAGUCACACUGGAACUGAGACACGGUCCAGACUCCUACGGGAGGCAGCAGUGGGGAAUAUUGGACAAUGGGCGAAAGCCUGAUCCAGCAAUGCCGCGUGUGUGAAGAAGGUCUUCGGAUUGUAAAGCACUUUAAGUUGGGAGGAAGGGCAGUAAGUGAAUACCUUGCUGUUUUGACGUUACCAACAGAAUAAGCACCGGCUAACUUCGUG
rnacentral:rRNA from 1 species